UACGUAGGGUGCAAGCGUUGUCCGGAAUUAUUGGGCGUAAAGAGCUCGUAGGCGGUUUGUCACGUCGGCUGUGAAAACCCGAGGCUCAACCUCGGGCCUGCAGUCGAUACGGGCAGACUAGAGUAUGGCAGGGGAGACUGGAAUUCCUGGUGUAGCGGUGAAAUGCGCAGAUAUCAGGAGGAACACCAGUGGCGAAGGCGGCUCACUGGACCGGUUCUGACGCUGAGGCGCGAAAGCGUGGGGAGCAAACGGG
rnacentral:rRNA from 1 species